AGUUCUCCCGUCUUAUUCAGAGCUCCAUGAAAUGACAACAUAUAUUCUGUACAUUCUACAGACCCUACUGAGUAUUUCCUACAAUACUUUUAAUGCAGCACCUAGAAUAGUUUUUGCUCUAUAAGCCAAUAUCGAUUCAAUAUUAGGGAUGCGACAAAUGGAACAUUUUGCUUAACGUUUAAACAGCCAUUUAAAAAAAGUCUGUUUUCUGUUAUGUAUGACCGCUAGGGCCGGGCAAUGAGGGUAUACAGUAUCUACCGCAACCCUUUACAGACAUCGAAUGCAGAUACAGUAACAUGUCGAUAGUGACAACUGAUAACUUUUCAGACAAUUCAAAAUAGUGCCGCAUCAGGUCUGUACCUUUUCAGAUUGACGUGCUGCUGUGUGUUGUUUUUUAUGGCGUUUUUGAUGAUAUUGCUAGCUAGAAGUGUUUUAUUUCUACUAAAUAAAUGUCUUGGUAAGUCACGGUGUUUAAAAAACUUGACAGUAAUUUUUUAGGAGAGAGUUGUGCUGCCUGCGAGCAGCAGCUAGAGAUGAUUUGAUUGACAGUUCUGGUUGCCUAGUGACGGAUUUUAGUCCCGCUUCAGAAACUGCAUUCCUUACGGACAAGUAAAUGUCCUUUCAUAUCAGCAGAGAAGGUUUUGUGUGGGCAUUUUUAGAAAAUGCAGUGUAGCCUACCCUAACAGACAGAGAAACUAAAUACCGUAGCCUAUGUCUGAAAAGCGUAAUUCAUACAGGCUACUGGUAGCCUACUAAUUAAUAUGAGGCAAAAGCGAAGAGUAGGCUACCCUGUACUCACAAGACUGGCCUGAAGACAUCAGUGCCUUGAAUAGGCUAGGAUAUUCUACACACAACAGACCGAAGACUGAACCCACACUUGCAUCAUUAGCUAAGAGACAGAGUCAUGUCUACACUUGACAGUUCAUGCAGCUUUUCUAUUCUGAUCAUAGAGUUCUGAUCAUGGAAUCAUGCAUCUACACCUACAUUUAAAUGUCCACAGUGUGUCUGGAUUGCCUAUUCCUGUGCUAUAUUCAAAUGCCAGUAUGCAAAUGGUGGAAUAGCCAAAUAUGAUAACACAACAACUGAUGGCAGUAGCUAACUACAGGGAUGAAGCAAAAAUGUGCCAUCUUGAAUGCAGCACACGACUGCAGAGAGAAGAGAAGAGUAGAGACAACCAACUUGCUAGUUACAGCAUCAGCACCCAUUCUGGAAAGACAGCGGGGAGUGGAAAAGCAGUUUGGCAGUUACAGCAGCAGUGUGUCCCCCUGAGCGACAAUGAAGAGAAUGAGAGAAUUAGGUGUAAAUGAGGGGUUGCUUGUUAACAAGUGGAUUCAGGGAUCAAGUUUAGCUGGAGCUGGGCCUAAGCUGGAUUCCUUUAUAGAGGCUAUGGUCCUUGGUGUCCUAGCAGAGCAUUCCCUCCCCUUCAUUUGCUCCAGUAAUUGUUGAGCUAGCGCAAAGUCUUGCCAUUGACAAGAUGGCUUUGGAGAGGAUGAAGCUCUCAACAACAGUGGCAUCCUCCAAGAUGGUCCAUGGCCUAGUACGGAUCUUCUCCAAAAGGACCUUCUCAAACCUGAUAAGCUACUACCAUGAUGACACAAGGAAGGUGGUGGUGGACCACUUGGAGUCCCUGGAGGUCAUCAAGGUGAAUGCCGUCAGCUUGGAGAGGGCGCUCUCCGACUUCUUCGACCAUAACAACAUCCCAUGGAAAAAUAUGGAGAGUAUGAUGAUGGAUUAGCGCCAUGAGAGGUAGAAAGACUGGCCUCGAGACAAGGAUCUGUCAGAUGCACUGUCCAAACCUGCUCGACAUUGAUGGAGACUCCUGUCAUCACAUCCACAAUGCGGCAAAGAAUUUUGCAGAUCCCUUCGACCAUCACCGUGAGCAGCUUUUCAAUGAUCUGCACACUGAUCAUCAGUGGUCUCCAGGUCAAGUAAAAACAAGUGUAUUUGAACGUUUGGUAUUUACUUCACUCAAUGUAUGAAAUGGACAUUCAUUUUAUUCAUCUGAAUACUGAAUAUCUUGUUUCUGUGCAAUCCUACCUUAAAUGAUAAAGAACAAUGAAGGCUAUAAAAAGUAUUGAUUUAUUUUUUACAAACUUUUAGGGGCAGUGUAUGGAAAUACAUAAUUUCACGGUCUUUCUUUUUGUCAAGUGAUGUACAUCAAGGAGAUAUGCUAGUACCUGAAAAUCCCUACCUCCAAUUCUCAGAGGUUUGUGCCCCAUCGCUGGCUGUCCACAUGUCAGCAUUUCGACACACAGAAUGCUGCCGGCUUACAAGGCCCUGUACUAUGGGUUCCUGAGCAACGAAGACCAGGAGCUGUACAAGGACCCACUUGAACCCAUUUAUAAAGACCACCACGUGAGCGAGAAGGCACAAGCGCGGAUCAAGUCUUUGCACCAGGACCUCAACAGAAAAGGCAUGACACAGCAAGGGAAAGACAGAAAGAAAAAAGUGACCAGGAAGUUGUAGCAUGAGGGCACUACAACUCAGAAUUUACAUGGGUGUACUGGCCAUCCUGAAGGGAUAAGUCAUGGUUUCACAACAGUUUUUUUUACAUUCACAUGGUAGCCAGAUGUUGGUACUUAAGCUCCACGACAAGCAGCUUGAAAUGUUCCAACAUUUUCUGUCUUGCUUCGUCAAAGCUGAAUAUCACUUAAGAAUCACCCAAGACUAUGGUAGAGAUGGUACUUCAGGAGAAGAUGCUGCUGUCUGCCAGAGUGGGAAACAAAUGGAUUCAGAACCAGGAAUCCCAAUCAUGUACCCUGCAAUUUAAAUUACAUUUAAUACGAUAUCUUUUUUUGUCAUGGUUUCAAAACAUGAAGUAAUUGUCAGUUUUGUGGUGUCUAUAUUUCAGCUGCUGAAGUCUUUCAUGGAACAGGUCACCAAGUAACUUUACAUACAGAAGAAGUUGCCCUUGAAAAGUUACACACUGAGGUCACUGUCUGCUCUGGAGCUGGUUUUGAGGGGCCACUCGCAGGCAGCGAUCAAGUUGAAGAAGCUGAGCGCAAUGUUGGGCUACCUCUCACCAGCUAACAUCGAUCCAUGCCUGGCCAGUUUCACGGAGGUAGAUGACAUGGUGGAGUGCUGGGCUCAUGUAUUGGCCCAGAUACUGAAGUAUCCAGCCCUGGGUAAUGUGGCGAAAGGUUCCCUCUCUGUUUUUCAUUGUACCAGGGUUGAGUCUUUGUUUAGCUUAAUGAACGAAACCAUUGAUUCAAGAAGCACCAACAUGAACAUCUCAACGUUCAAUGCAAUACAGACUGUGAAGUACACCCUGGAGUCCAGGCAGAAGGCAGCCGUGGAGAUUUUUAAAUGGGAGGAUGCAAGGUUUGGGGAGGUGGACCGAAGGCUUUGCAGAAACAUCAGGUCAGCAGGGACAGUAGACAAGACCUAGCGGCAACAGAGUCUGCUGGAAGACUGAAGACGACGUCUCGGUUAUGGCUGUCAGCCAUCUGGAAGUGCUCAGGAGAGCAAGUGGGCGGCAGCUGAAGAUGAGAAGAGGGCAAGGCUCAAGCAUGGUGCAAAACAACGCAAGGGGACACUUGUCCAGGCUAAGAAAAAGGAGUAGGGACAUCCCCUCUAACCAGCCCUCUCCUUCCCUCCAGUUCACUCCCAUUGUCAAAUAAAUCCCAGAUUGUUCCUUGCCUAGGACACAGAAUGUUUGGUUUUUUAAAUGUGAUACGCCGUUUGUAACCUAAAUUUGUAUAGUUUACUGGUCGCCCCUUUUCACACAGAUCUAGCCCCGCCCCCUGUCACUCAAGGAGUGCGUUUGUUAUUGCUCGACCACAAGACACUUACGUUCAGUCUGCAUGGUCAUGCAACAAUGUUGAUGCCAAAGAAGCUGUUUCCGCUUCUUUAUAUGAAUCCACAAGCGUUUUAUAAUUACACUAUUAGUUUGUCUUUACUUAGCAAGUUUAAAAAAAUGGCGCCGGAGAGGAUGGCUGCCGUUUUAUGGGAUCUAAAACAACUGUGCUAUUUUCUGUGUGUUUUCACAUUGUAACUUAUUUUGUACAUAAUGUUGCUGCUACUGUCUCUUAUGACCGAAAAGAGCUUCUGGAUAUCAGAACAGCGAUUACACACCUUCAAACGAGCUUCAACGCCAUACAACUCUCCUUCCGUGGCCUCCAACUGCUUUUAAAUGCUAGUAAAAAUAAGUGCAUGCUCUUCAACCGAUCGCUGCCCGUACCUGCCCGCCCUUCCAGCAUCACUACUCUGGACGGUUCUGAUUUAGAAUAUGUGGACAACUACAAAUACCUAGGUGUCUGGUUAGACUGUAAACUCUCCUUCCAGACUCAAAUUAAGCAUCUCCAAUCCAAAAUUAAAUCUAGAAUCGGCUUCCUAUUUCGCAACAAAGCAUCCUUCACUCAUGCUGACAAACAUACCCUCGUAAAACUGACUAUCCUACCAAUCCUUGACUUUGGCGACGUCAUUUACAAAAUAGCCUCCAACACUCAGACUGCAUCCGUUUUGUCACCAAAGCCUCAUAUACUACCCACCACUGCAACCUGUAUGGUCUCGUUGGCUGGCCCUCGCUUCAUAUUCGUCGCCAAAUGGGUUUAAAUGUAUUUGGCUAAGGUGUAUGUUAACUUCCGACUUCAACUGUAUAUGUGUGUGUAUGUAUGUAUAUGUGUGUGUGUGUAUGUACUGUAUAUAAACUCAGCAAAAAAAGAUAAUUCUUAACUUCACAGAUCUUCAUUGUAAAGGGUUUUAACACUGUUUCCCAUGUUUGUUCAAUGAACCAUAAACAAUUAAUGAACAUGCACCUGUGGAACGGUCGUUAAGACACUAACAGCUUACAGACGGUAGGCAAUUAAGGUCACAGUUAUGAAAACAUAAGACACUAAAGAGGUCUUUCUACUGACUCUGAAAAACACCAAAAGAAAGAUUGCCAAGGUCCCUGCUAAUCUCUGUGAACGUGCCUUAGGCAUGCUGCAAGGAGGCAUGAGGACUGCAGAUGUGGCCAGGGAAAUAAAUUGCAAUGUUCGUAUAGUGAGACGCCUAAGACAGCACAGCGCUACAGGGAGACAGGACGGACAGCUGAUCAUCCUCGCAGUGACAGACCACGUGUAACAACACCUGCACAGGAUCGGUACAUCCGAACAUCACACCUGCGGGAAAAGUACAAGAUGGCAACAGCAACUGCACAAGUUACACCAGGAACAAACAAUCCCUCCAUCAGUGCUCAGACUGUCUGCAAUAGGCUGAGAGAGGCUGGACUGAGGGCUUCUAAUCCAGUUAUAUGUCACGAAUACUACCGAAGGUGACUCCCCUUCCCGUUCGGGUGGCGCUCGGCGGUCGUCGUCGCCGGUCUACUAGCUGCCACCGAUCCCUUUUUCCUUUUCGUUUAUGUCUGUCUAAUUGUUUUCACCUGUUUCUUGUUGGGCUUUUGGGAGGUGUACUAUUUAGGUUAGUUUCGCCCGCUAGUGUUUGUGCGGGCUUAUUGUGUGUUCAUGUUACGUCAGGAGUGGAUUAUUUGAUUGUGGGUUUUUCGCUGUCCAGUUUAUUUUAAACAGUUGGUCUGUGGGUUGUGUUUGCGCCAGUGUUUUGGCGUCACCCCUUUUGUACCUGUUCCUGUUUUCACUGUGGACAUUAAAGCGUUUUGUUCCCGUAAACUUCUGCUCUCUCUGCGCCUGACUCUACACCCAUCAUUCUCCUGGCGUUACAUUAUAAGGCAAGUCCUUACCAAACAUCACCAGCAACAAUGUCGCCUAUGGGCACAAACCCACCGUCACUGGACCAGAUAGGACUGGCAAAAAGUGCUCUUCACUGACGAGUCGCAGUUUUGUCUCACCAGGGGUGAUGGUCGGAUUCGUGUUUAUCGUCGAAGGAAUGAGCGUUACACCGAGGCCUGUACUCUGGAGGGGGAUCGAUUUGGAGGUGGAGGGUCCAUCAUGGUCUGGGGCGAUGUGUCACAGCAUCAUCGGACUGAGCUUGUUGUCAUUGCAGGCAAUCUCAAUGCUGUGCGUUACAGGGAAGACAUCCUCCUCCCUCAUGUGGUACCUUCCUGCAGGCUCAUCCUGACAUGACCCUCCAGCAUGACAAUGCCACCAGCCAUACUGCUCAUUCUGUGCGUGAUUUCCUGCAAGACAGGAAUGUCAGUGUUCUGCCAUGGCCAGUGAAGGACCCGGAUCUCAAUCCCAUUGAGCACGUCUGGGACCUCUUAGAUUGGAGGGUGAGAGCUAGGGCCAUUCCCCCCAUUAAUCUCUGGGAACUUGCAGGUGCCUUGGUGGAAGAGUGGGAUAACAGCUCACAGCAAGAACUGGAAAUCUGGUGCAGUCCAUGAGGAGAAGACUUACUUAAUGCAGCUGGUGGCCACACCAGAUACUGACUGUUACUUUUGAUUUUGAUCCCCCCCUUUAUUCAGGGACACAUUAUUCAAUUUCUGUUACUCACAUGUCUGUGGAACUUGUUCAGUUUAUGUCUCAGUUGUUGAAUCUUAUGUUCAUACAAAUAUUUACACGUUAAGUUUGCUGAAAAUAAACGCAGUUGACAGUGAGAGGACGUUUUAUUAUUUGCUGAGUUUAUAUAUAUAUAUAUAUAUACACACACUAUGUAUGUAAUAUAUAUAUAUAAUGUGUGUAUAAAUGUAUAUGUAUGCAUACAUACACACAUACAUUGAUUCUUGACAAAUAUAACUUUUAAAUGCCUCAUGAGGGUAGUUCAACUGUCACACUUCAUGAGAACCAGAAAUAUAAGCUUGUUUUUCUGUAAAUGUAAAUGUAAAUGUAGCCUCAUAACAUGGUUAAAACAUAAAAUGUUUACAUCAUGGAUGGUCAGUCAUUGCAUCCACAGCGCUGUCUAUUCAUCUGAGAGUGGUUACAUUUCUCCAGGCACAUCCCUCAGCUUUUUACCAAAACAGAGGCGGGGCGUCCGUUUUGUUAUUGUUUCAUCUGUGGAUUUGCCCUUUAAACAGCUGCAUAUUAUCAAUAUAUCAAAGUGUCACCAACAAAAAAGUAAACAAUAGGCCUAUAGCAAAUGCAGCAUAUGACAUUCAUUUUUCACAUGUAAAUAGCACUUUUCAGUAGUGCUCAAAGCAUGCCAUUCCAUGAUUGCAGCAUUUAUUUUCCAACUCUAAUCAAUGGGCACAAUCAGUCCUCCAUGACAACAAAAUCAUAAACAACAGUAGGGCUGGCUAAUAAGUCUUUAGUUUUGGGGUUGUGCUCAGGUAAAACAAUUUGGCUAAUCUAUACUUCCAUAUUUACUAUUCUUGAAGAUCAAGGGGUAUAACAUUUAUUGGAAUGACUGGAAUUCUGAUAGACUUUGGUUUUUAAUGUAAAGAUAUAAUUUAAUCGUAUUAUUGCAUGUAGUAGAAAGGGAUGGGUUAGAAGCAGCCUACAUAACCAACUCAUAAAGUAAAAUGUAACAUCCAUAUAUGGCCAGCUAUGUAAACGUUAACAUUGAUUUAUCCUGCAAUAGAUGUCGUUCAAUUGGUAACAUACAUUUUUGUCUUAUUCUAAUGCCUCUUAAGGGGAAAGUAAUCUAAAAGUAAUUUAAAGUCAGAUUACGUUACUGAGUUUGGGUACUCCAAACGUUACAUUACUGAUUACAAUUUGACAGGUAACUAACGGAUUACAUUUAGAAAGUACCCUACCCAAACCUGCAUACACAGGUAUACGCACGUUCACACACAUUCUGAGUUCCUGAUGAGUCUUCGAUUAGGCCAGAGACCCAUCCCAGACUCCACAUCGGAAAAAAGGGAUCAACACUUGAGAAAGCACACUCACUUCUCUCGAACAAUAGUUUUUUGGUCAGGACAUCAGCUACAUUCAGAUGGAGCAUUGCUCACAGUGCGUCAGAGCUUUUGUAAUAUUCUUAAGGUGUAUCUAACGAUGGUAUUUUAAGCAACCCCUGAAAACCCUCCAAUUUUGAUUCAUCAGGUGGAGAAACAGUUGGUCGGUUGUCUUGGCGGUAGCAUCACAUAUUUUCCAGGUCAGUAUGCCUCUGAACAAUAUCAAAGAGGUACCGUUAUUGACGCAAGACCCGUCAGGGUGUUUAGAAAUCGAAGGUGAAGCAAUGAAGGUACAUAUUUGAGGAGUUCAUUUUGGAGCUUGCAGUGAGGCUGUUUCCAUUCUUUCCUUGUCCCAGAAU